GAGUUUGAUCCUGGCUCAGGAUGAACGCUGGCGGCGUGCUUAACACAUGCAAGUCAAGGGGGCUCAGCAAUGGGCAACCGGCGAACGGGUGCGUAACACGUGAGCAACCUACCUAGGUGCGGGGGAUAGCCGGCCCAACGGCCGGGUAAUACCGCAUACGCUCUUUCUUAGGCAUUUAGGGAAGAGGAAACCUUCGGGGCACUAUGAGGGGCUCGCGGCCUAUCAGCUAGUUGGCGAGGUAAUGGCUCACCAAGGCGACGACGGGUAGCUGGUCUGAGAGGAUGGCCAGCCACAUUGGGACUGAGAAACGGCCCAGACUCCUACGGGAGGCAGCAGUGGGGAAUCUUGCGCAAUGGCCUAACGGCUGACGCAGCGACGCCGCGUGAGGGAUGACGCUCUUCGGAGUGUAAACCUCUUUUGCCUGGAACGAACUAUCAGCAUUUGCUGAUUUGACGGUACCGGGUGAAUAAGCACCGGCUAACUCCGUGCCAGCAGCCGCGGUAGUACGAAGGGGGCUAGCGUUGCUCGGAAUUACUGGGCGUAAAGCGCACGUAGGCGGCUUCUUAAGUCGGUGGUGAAAUCCUGGAGCUCAACUCCAGAACUGCCUUCGAUACUGGGAAGCUCGAGUCCGGGAGAGGUGAGUGGAACUGCGAGUGUAGAGGUGAAAUUCGUAGAUAUUCGCAAGAACACCAGUGGCGAAGGCGGCUCACUGGCCCGGUACUGACGCUGAGGUGCGAAAGCGUGGGGAGCAAACAGGAUUAGAUACCCUGGUAGUCCACGCUGUAAACGAUGGAUGCUAGCCGUUGGCGAGCUUGCUCGUCAGUGGCGCAGCUAACGCUUUAAGCAUCCCGCCUGGGGAGUACGGUCGCAAGAUUAAAACUCAAAGGAAUUGACGGGGGCCUGCACAAGCGGUGGAGCAUGUGGUUCAAUUCGAAGCAACGCGCAGAACCUUACCAGCCCUUGACAUCCCGGUCGCGGAGAGCAGAGACGCACUCCUUCAGUUCGGCUGGACCGGAGACAGGUGCUGCACGGCUGUCGUCAGCUCGUGUCGUGAGAUGUUGGGUUAAGUCCCGCAACGAGCGCAACCCUCGCCCUUAGUUGCCAUCAUUUAGUUGGGCACUCUAAGGGGACUGCCGGUGAUAAGCCGGAGGAAGGUGGGGAUGACGUCAAGUCCUCAUGGCCCUUACGGGCUGGGCUACACACGUGCUACAAUGGCGGUGACAGAGGGAUGCAAAGGGGCGACCCUUCGCAAAUCUCAAAAAGCCGUCUCAGUUCGGAUUGGGGUCUGCAACUCGACCCCAUGAAGUUGGAAUCGCUAGUAAUCGCAGAUCAGCACGCUGCGGUGAUACGUUCCCGGGCCUUGUACACAC
rnacentral:rRNA from 1 species